AUAAAACCAGGCUGCCCGAGCUAGCAGUAGUAAUUUGCUUGGGUCCUCUUCUAAUGUGUGGCAGGUUUGUUUUUUCGCUCUUUGCAAUUAAAUCUUGCCAUUGCUCACUCUUUGGGUCCACACUGCUUUUAUGAGCUGUAACACUCACCGCGAAGGUCUGCAGCCUCGCUGCUGAAGCCAGCGAGACCACGAACCCACCGGGAGGAACGAACAACUACAGCUGCGCCGCCUUAAGAGCUGUAACACCGCGAAGGUCUGCAGCUUCACUUCUGAGCCAGCGAGACCACGAACCCACUAGAAGGAAGAAACUCCGGACAUGCCCCCUUUAAGAACUGUUAACACUCAGCGCGAGGGUCCGAGGCUUCUUUCUUGAAGUCAGUGAGACCAAGAACCCACCAAUUCUGGACACAGUGACAAGGAAAAGACAGCGGUAAUUGCCACAUUGAGUGAACCAAGUUUCUAAAUGGCUGGCAUUUGCAUAUUAAAGGUUGCCUGCCCGGCCCUUCAAGCCACCUUUUCUGUUAGAAAAGAGAUGGUUCGGGGCUGUUUUUUUAUUACAGGAAAAUUUCCUCCGAGAACCUUUACCCUGAGUAGCUGCCUGGAAAUUAUUUCUUAAGAACACCUGUAUCACCAGCCUGCAUCUCCCUCAAAGCAGAACCUGAGAUAAAAAGGCUUCUGGAUGAACAGCCUCUCUGAGUAUUUGAGUAAAGAACAAAGGCCGUUUUGGGGGAAGUCGGACCUGAAUGGGUCUUGGUGCACAAGAAGCUGAGAAAGCAGGAGAGAAGAAUCCAGAGGAAAAAGAGGGAUUCACACAGGAGGAGAACAGAGAAUGGAGAAGAUCAAUGUUGAAGCUAAAGCACUUGGUCCAUCAAUUCAAAUGUUAAUGUCCUCUGGAAACACCCUCAGAGACAGACCCAGAAAUAAUGUUUAAUCAGAUAUAUGGACAUCCCAUGGCCCAGCCAAAUUGAUGCAUAAAAUUAACCAUCUCAGCAAGGGUGUAUUGCUUACUAUCUUUGAAUUCAGAGUGCUCUGGGAAGCCAUUAGUAUACUUUAGGGGGAAUAAAUGGUGUUAGUUAAUCUAGAACACUGGCUGGGUGGACUUUGGUUAAGGGAAUUCUUACUCACCAUGAAUCCAUCUGCCAAAUGUUUAUUGAGUGCCUACUGUGAAUCACCUGGUAGAGGCUCACAUUUGUCACAGACUGGUAAGAAGGUAGCUUACUUUUCCAAUCUGCACUUUGAUUUAUGCCUUUGCACAUUCUCUUCUGCCUACUUGGUGUCUUUUCUAUGCAUUUUUCAUCACCUGGGAGAUUUCUGCUCAUCCUUCAACAUAUGCCUUAAAAAUCACCUUCUCAGGGAAGCCUUCCCUGCCCUCUAAGCUUGACUUAAAAAGGUUUGCUGUUUUGCCUUUUGCAUUCUUCCAUAAUAGCACCUAUCGCUCUGUAUUGUAAGAAAUCGUUUCUAAGUCUCUUUAAGCUGUGGCCACAGUCCUUAGUACAUAGAAAGUGCUCAAUACAUGUUUGUUAAAUGCACUUGAUUUUUAUAUAUUAGUCCUAUAUCCAGCAACUCUGCUGAAUCCAGUUUCUAAUUUGGGUAGUGAAGCUGUUGAUUUUUUGAGACUUUCUAAGUAUAAAGUCAUAAGUAGCCUUUUUCUUCCUUUCUAAUAUGUAUAUCUUUUUUGUCCCUUUCCUUAUUAAGUAGGAUGGUCACCAGCAAAAUGUUGACAGAUGUGCCUGUUCAUGUUUUGGAUUCUAGAUGAAUGUUUUCAAUAUUUUACCAUUAAGUGUAAUAUUUGCUGUAGAUUUUGAUACAUACCCUCUCUUAGAUUAAAAAAAUUUCCUUCUCUGCUUACUCUGCCAAGUGAUUUUUUUAGUAUCAUGAAGGAAUAUUGCAUUUUAUCAAAUGUUUUCUGCAUCUAUUAUGACUACAUAAUUUUCUGAAUUAUGCUAAUGAUGUGAUUUAAAUGAAUUUAUUUUUAAACAUUAAACCAACCUUGCAUUUCUCAAAUACACUCAACUCGGUUAUAAUGUAUUAUUCCUUUUUAUAUUGCUGUUUACUUAUUUUUUCUUAUAUUUUAUCUAAGAUACUGUAUCAAAGUUCAUGAAUGAUAUCAGCCUAUAAUUUUCCUUUGUGAUACUGUCCUCAUCUGCAUGAAGGUUAUGCUUGUAUUAUUUUAAAAGUUACAAAGUUUCAAUUAUCUGGAAGAAUGUAUAAGAUUGGUGUUACGUC
rnacentral:lncRNA from 1 species